GCUCAGCUGGUUAGAGCGCACGCCUGAUAAGCGUGAGGUCGAUGGUUCGAGUCCAUUUAGACCCACCA
rnacentral:tRNA from 1 species